rnacentral:lncRNA from 1 species
AUGAACUUAGUGAUAUUUUUUCCAGUUAUAAAAAAGUUAAAAUGAUAAAUUUCAUAUUAUGUUCUAAAUAAAGUAGAAAUGACAUUCUACGAAGUAGAAAACGAAAUCCACUUUUUUCAUUGAAUCUACAAUGUUUAGAAUAUGUGAUCUACGUAAAUAGGAGUAUUCUAAAAAUAUUUAGAAUACACAUUCCGCGCUUAACCUAUCGUUCUAAAAUCUUUAGAAAUCAAAAUCUACACAUUAAUAUAAAUCUAAAACACGUAGAAACUGACUUCUACAGAUUUACUAUAAAUCUAAAACAUGUAGAAAUCAAAAUCCAAACAUUACUAUAAUUCUAAAAAACUGUAGAAACCGAUUUCUACAUAUUAGUUGUAUUCUACGGAUAAGAAAUCAGUUCCUAAAAUUAUGGAAACAAAAUAUUUGGGAAUAUUCACUUUUAUAUUUUGAAAAAAAAAAUCGAUUUAAAAAAAAAAAAAAAAACGAAAAAGGAACAAAAAGCCAAAAAAAAAGCGAAAAAGGAAUAAAAAAUUACAAUUUUAAAGGCAUUACUGCCAUUUUGAAAACAAUUAGUCUAAUGGGACAUAAAGUAGUAUAGAUUAGUAUAAAGGGACAUAGUUACCAUUUUUUUGCUCUAAAAAAACAAUUUUCCCAAUAUAUUAUAAAUCAGGUUAAAAAGAGAAAAUUAAUUAAAAGUUUAACUCAUCUUUCAUAAUUUCGGCUGAUUCUUCACUCCAACUUUAGUUUCCUUCUCUUAAGAAAAUGGUAGGGGUAUUAAACGAGUUGACUAACAAAUGCUAAUAUGAAAGAAAUCACUGUACAAUAUUUAAAUUGCAAAUUGCUUGACCUUCGUAAGGAAAAAAAAUGUUUAUCUAACAUGAUACGGCCAUUUUUAAGUAAAAGGCUAAUGUCAUAUUCCACUAUUUUGUUCCCGACAAUUUUAGUCAACCAUUUCCAUAAUCAUUUCCAGCUAACAAUUACUCCAAUAUACCACUAGUAUAUAGUAUUUUAUUUAGUACCAUAUGUUCAGAUAGUA